rnacentral:rRNA from 1 species
CCCUUAGAUGUUCUGGGCUGCACGCGCGCUACACUGAAGCGUUCAACGAGUAUUUCACCUUGCCCGGGAGGGUUGGGUAAUCUUUUUAAAACGCUUCGUGAUGGGGAUAGAUUAUUGCAAUUAUUAAUCUUCAACGAGGAAUUCCUAGUAAACGCAAGUCAUCAGCUUGCAUUGAUUACGUCCCUGCCCUUUGUACACACCGCCCGUCGCACCUACCGAUUGAAUGGUCCGGUGAAAUCUCGGGACGGCGGCUCGGUCGCUUGCGUCCGACUGCUGAAACUUGAUUAAACCAUAUCAUUUAGAGGAAGGUGAAGUCGUAACA